AUACGUAGGUGGCAAGCGUUAUCCGGAAUUAUUGGACGUAAAGAGUGAGCAGGCGGUUAAUUAAGUCUGAGGUUAAAGCGUGGGGCUCAACCCCAUAAAGCCUUGGAAACUGAUUGACUAGAGUACGGGAGAAGUGAAGGGAACUCCAUGUGUAGCGGUGAAAUGCGUAGAUAUAUGGAAGAACACCAGUGGCGAAGGCGCUUCACUAGCCCGAAACUGACGCUCAGUCACGAAAGCGUGGGUAGCAAAUAGGAUUAGAUACCCUAGUAGUCCACGCUGUAAACGAUGACAACUAAAUAUUGCCGCGAGGCAGUGUUGAAGCUAACGCAUUAAGUUGUCCGCCUGGGGAGUACGGUCGCAAGACUGAAACUUAAAGGAAUUGACGGGG
rnacentral:rRNA from 1 species